GAUGAACGCUGGCGGCGUGCUUAACACAUGCAAGUCGAAUGGUGAAGCAGGAGCUUGCUCUUGUGGAUCAGUGGCGAACGGGUGAGUAACACGUGAGAAACCUGCCCCUGACUCUGGGCUAAGCGCUGGAAACGGCGUCUAAUACUGGGUAUGUGAUGUGACCGCAUGGUCUGCAUCUGGAAAGAAUUUCGGUUGGGGAUGGGCUCGCGGCCUAUCAGCUUGUUGGUGAGGUAAUGGCUCACCAAGGCGUCGACGGGUAGCCGGCCUGAGAGGGUGACCGGCCACACUGGGACUGAGACACGGCCCAGACUCCUACGGGAGGCAGCAGUGGGGAAUAUUGCACAAUGGGCGGAAGCCUGAUGCAGCAACGCCGCGUGAGGGAUGACGGCCUUCGGGUUGUAAACCUCUUUUAGCAGGGAAGAAGCGAAAGUGACGGUACCUGCAGAAAAAGCACCGGCUAACUACGUGCCAGCCGCCGCCGUAA
rnacentral:rRNA from 1 species